GUCGAACGGAAUCCUUUCGAGGAUUUAGUGGCGGACGGGUGAGUAACGCGUGAGAAUCUGCCUUUAGGACGGGAACAACAACUGGAAACGGUUGCCCGAUGUGCCCUUCGGGGUGAAAAUAUUUAUAGCCUGAAGAUGAGCUCGCGUCAGAUUAGCUAGUUGGUUGGGUAAUGGCCGACCAAGGCGACGAUCUGUAACUGGUCUGAGAGGAUGACCAGUCACACUGGGACACGGCCCAGACUCCUACGGGAGGCAGCAGUGGGGAAUUUUCCGCAAUGGGCGAAAGCCUGACGGAGCAAUACCGCGUGAGGGAGGAAGGCUCUUGGGUCGUAAACCUCUUUUAUCAGGGAAGAAGACAGUGACGGUACCUGAUGAAUCAGCAUCGGCUAACUCCGUGCCANCAGCCGCGGUAAUACGGAGGAUGCAAGCGUCCGGAAUUAUUGGGCGUAAAGCGUCCGCAGGUGGUUUUGAAAGU
rnacentral:rRNA from 1 species